GUGCUUGCUUCGGCAGCACAUAUACUAAAAUUGUAACGAUACAGAGAAGAUUAGCAUGGCCCCUGCGCAAGGCCAUAUUUAAAAAUAAAUAAAUAAAUAAAUAAAU
rfam:Ailuropoda melanoleuca scaffold1288_65, whole genome shotgun sequence.